AGGUUAUAUGAGAGUAUGUAUGUAUGUAUAGUUGCUAUAGAAUAUCAACUACAGGCAUGGAAGGAAUGUUUAGGGAUUCUUACACAGCCCUGUGGGACUAGAGCAUGAAGUUUAGAUGGAGAGAACACUCCCAAAGUUCCUUUAACGCUCAGGAAAGAGCUCCAACUUGGUGCAACCCUUGGGGCAAACACCCUGUGUUUGGGAAGCCAGCUGACAUGAUCACGUGCAUUCAUUCUACGGCGGGGUAAGGAGAUGAGGAGCAGGAAAUUUCUGCUGUGAGAACCACCUCUGCUGGGAAAGCAGAAUAAUGUUUGUAUUUUGUGGGUCAUUUUGAAUAUUGUUACAUUUAUGAGUCAUAGAUUUCUUCUCCUGUGUGUUUUAAGAGUUUCUGCUUUACUAGGUCUGAGUUUUAUUUUUAAAACAUUGUUCUAUUUUGAAGUUGACUUGCCAGGAGCAUGCUACCCUGUAAAGCUAGGUCCGCAGGCAUCUGCACAGCAAAAGAGGCAAGAAACUAACAGCGUUUCCUUCUACACGCCUCUUUCAUGGUGCCCAGGUGGCCUCAACAUUCUCUUUGUGCCUUGGGGCAAGGGCUUGGGGCAUAAGUUUGGGUGGUAGUCACAAAUUCAUGCCCUUUGGAGAAAAAAACAAGCUCCUGAUGAAAAUGUUAAAUCAUGAAUUUGGAUGGAUAGCCUUCAAAUGCAAAAGAUAGGUUAAUAGGAAUCAAAGAAUAUAUUAAAAUACAUUUUUGUAAUAGGGACAGACAGAAACAACAUUUGGUUUUGAUUUUAUGCAGAACAUCAGCCACCAGAAUAAAACAAAAAAAAAAGCAGACAACAGGGUACCUCUUGAGUAGUUGCAGAUCUGAAAGCUGAACUGUAAUGUUUAAUUGAAUAUCUUAAGGUUGGAUUAUGUGCAAAAAGAAUUGCAAAGGGACAGAAGGCUCAGCUUUUAGGCAAACCUUGUACUUUUGUGCCCUCUGGUGGUAGUUUGGAGAAUUGACCUAUCCUCAUAGAAUUAAGAAAACCCUGGAGGAAAGUAGCUAAGGAGAGCUAGGGUACCUCUGAGACCCUGAGGGUCUUUCCUACUCCUCCUUCAUCCAGUUAAAGGCAGAAAAGAGCUAGCUGGCUUUAGAGAUUCUGCAAACCGCCUUCAAGAAUGCAAAAGAACCAUUGGUUUGGAAGCAUUGAUGGACGGUUCCACUGAUCACUGUUGAAUGUUUUUGGACCCUUUUCUAACAUGGGCUUGUCAGGCUCAGAAUGGAAGCCUGAGUUUCCAUCUCUCUCGAAGGACUCACGUACCAGACACAGGUGACACUGAGCGUCAGCAGCUGUGAGGAGUUGGAUCCUUAGCAAACAGUCUCCUUGGGGCUGGGGAUAUUUGGGGAACCAGCGGACGGCUAUCAACAUGCCAUAAAACAAUGAUGGUACCGUUUCACAUGGAAUUUGCAAGCUCCUCAAAAUCAAAUUGCACUGGCAGAGCAAGGAACUUUGCUGUAAAAUUUUAACUCCAUAGUCACAGGUAGACAAAACCUCCAAACUAGAAGAGCAUCUGCUCAUGGAGACUGAAAUCGUCUAUUUUCUCAUGUUUACCUUUCAGCAUUAGGUUAGCCCCGGAAUUAGAUGUAGUUCAUAAACCCAGGUCUGCCGAGCACCGCAGAGGGGUUUUUAUUUCUUCUGCACAUGUGGCUGGACCUGAUGAUACCCAGUUCUGAGACCACUUCUAACACACCCCUUAGAGAAGACUGAGCCUUUGGCUUUUAUGUGAGUGUAGGCAUGAUUUCCAGGUCGUUUGGCAGUCCUGUUAGGAGAAUUAAAUGGAUCGAGAUGCCUCUAAAUGUUCACUAUAGUUUUAUUUACACCCAGCGACGACCCAAGUAUGUGAUACUUCUAAAUACCCUUCAGUUUUUCACAGACAGAAGCUUGCUUUCUCUAGGCAGACGAUUCCUUGUAACAAGUGAGUUCAGACGCUGCGCCGAAGUGAAUUUAAUAGCCUGGAGAUCCCGUUUCACUUUCCGGGAGAACAGAUCCCAUAAACUGCCUUCUUUGUGCCAUUCUGCUUCCUGUCCUCCGCGAGGGUGAUGCAGAAAUACAGCUGCUGUGUGGGAACACUCCAGAGUUCAGUUUCUCAAACCACAGGCCAGGGAAGGGCGGUUAUGAGGCUCUGUUUCUCUUCCUUCCAAAAUAGUACCCAAGGCCCUUCUGACCUUGCCUCCUUCUACCUCUGAGCCGUAAGCCUACUGGGGAGUAAGUUUAUCCUACUUCCUUUUGUCGUAAUUAUUUUUAGUUGCGGAGGGUAUAAAUAUGUAUCCUGGGAGAGGUUAGAGUUCUCUCGAGGGACCUGCUAGGUACAAUUUAUGUCUUUUUAAAAAUCUAUUCAUAUAAUUAUAAAUGUUUAUAACAUUUCUAACAUGUAUGUUUCUAUAAAUGUUAUACAGAUCUAUGUAAUUACAGAUUUGUGAUAAAAUUACAAACCUGUGUAAGUAAAUUUUUUAUGAAAUGUUAUAAUAUUUAUGAUUGUAAAUAUAUACAUCUCUGCAUGCUCUUAGGAGGUUAGCAUCCGCUGACUCUCACAGUCUAGGGUCUACAGAAAACCAUAUCACUCUGAUUUUUAUACUUUAAUACACUUUAUUUCAACCCUACCCCCAAAUGGCAUAGAGAGUUAGUUAUUCAGUUGGCUUAAUAGAAACAAGCAAGCAUUGGGGCACCUGGGUGGCUCAGCUGGUUAAGCGUCCAACUCUUGGUUUGGGCUAAGGUCAUAUGAUCUCAUGGUUCACGAGUUCAAACCCCGCCUUGGGUUCUGUGCUGACAGUGCAAAGCCUGCUUGGAAUUCUCUCUCUCUUUCCCUCUGUCUCUGUCCCUCUCCCGUGCUCGCUCACUCUCUCUCUCAAAAUACAUAAACUUAUGAAAAUUUAAGAAGCAAGCAAUGGGGGGCACCUGGGUGGCUCAGCCGGUUAAGCGUCCAACUUUGGCUCAGGUCAUGAUCUCACGGUUCAUGGGUUCGAGCCCUGCAUUGGGCUCUGUGCUGACACCUCAGAGUCUGGAGCCUGCUUUGGAUUCUAUGCCUCCUUCUCUCUGCUCCCCCUCUGCUGUGCUCUGUCUUUCAAAAAUGAAUAAACAUUAAAAAAAUUUUUCAACAAAGAAGCAACUUUUAUAUAGGUAUAGAGUUACUCAAAUGCCAGGGACUAACAAAUACACUGCCUGUUCUACUGGACAGAAGAGAGUGAAAACACAUUCCACCUUCUGCUGCCACUUCUUCCCCUUGGCUUGAGGAAACGGAGGCAGGACCUGCUGCCUGGGAAGCAAACCAGGCGCCUCAGUGUCAGGGACACGAGGGACACCAUCACAACAGGUGCCUUCGUGGUGACCAUGUGGCUCCCCUUUUCUUCCUCCUCAAGUCCGCACUGUAAUUUGCAUGAACGACAUGGCUCUUUUGCCUCUCGUUUCAAUGGUUUCCCUUCGGAAGUUCGUGGUGUAGGAAAAUAAGUUGUUUUUCAUAAGAACGGGGCGAACUACGGAUUCUUCACAGCUGGUACCCAUCACAGGCCAGUCCUUCCCCUGGCCUGGAGAUCACAAGCACAGCCGUGGAGAACUACCAAACCCAAGUAGUUCUCAUUAAAAAAAAAAAAAAAAAAAAAAAAA